AGUCCCUCGACCGCAGACGCGGGGGCGCACGGGGCGUGCUGCGGCGCCUGCCUCAGCCGCUCCCAGUCCCGGGCCCCGCACGCUGCGUCUGCCUUGCGCCCGCGCUCCCCUCCCAGCGGGACUUACGCGGCCUGUUCUUUCUCCCCGAGUCCAUCCUCCUCCGCAGCCGGCAUUUCUUGGCCGGGGAGUCAUGCUGAGGGAGCAGUGGCUGCGGCUGGAGCUCCGGCAGGAGCGGGAGGCGCUGGGGCGCCGCGUCGCUGCCGCCCACGGGACCCCGGCUGCAGACAUGCGGCGGCUGGACUGGCGGCGGAUGGAAGCCGUUGUGCAGCAGCCCGUUCACAGCGGCGGCGCUGGUGCCCACGGGGGCCCCUGGAGAGUGCGGGACCGAGCGCUCCUGCUGCCCGCUGCGGUCGCCCAUGCCGGGGGCUGGCGGGGCUGCGCGCGGGCCCCGGCUCAGGCGGCCUCGCUGGAGGUCAUUCUCCGGCGUCUUUAUUUCCCCGGAUCCUCCCUGCGGCUUCCGAUUCAGCAGCCGCAGAGCCGGCGUCUGGGGAUGGCGAACCCGGCGCUCCUCCCCUCCUCCCGCCGACUCCCCCACCUCCUCCGCGCCCUGCCCCCCGCGCGCCGGCCCCACGGCGCCGGCCUGGAGCACGCCAGCCCCGGGCGCGGAAUCGGGGAUCCCCGCGCACCCCCAGCCGGGGCUUCCGCCGCCCGCCUUCCCCCGAUCCCCAGGCCGCGCGACUUCAAACGCGGCUUCCUCGCCUCCCAGACUGGUCCCCGCCACUGAGCAUGCCCAGUCCUGCCCGCCACCGCCACCGACGAGUUUCAACAUGGGGAAUCAAGUUCUCUGGGCUUGCAGAGAGGAGAUGGGCGGGUUGGGCUUUGUAUGGCGAUGUGAAAACCAGAUGGGUCUGGGAGAGACAGCGAAAGGAGCGAACCGCUUCAGGAGGAAUACGGGAGGAAGACAAUUAUUUGCAGAGGUUUCAGGUUUGCUAAUCCUGUCCCCAGUGAGCAAGAUACCUUUGCAAGGGAUUUGAUGCAGAUGAUCAUCAUGGCUUGGAGAAACAAUGAAGGAAGCAAAGUAUGCCAUCUAUGCUGCAGGAGGUAACUCCAGAAGACCCCAGAGAUGAAUAGGGAGGGAAGGUUUAAAAGAAUCUACUCAGAACUGAAGGAGCCAAGACUCUGUGGGUGCAUUUGAAACAACCUGGCAUUUUUGGGAAACUGCCAGGAGUUCCACAAGGCUGAAGAGCAGCCUGAGAAGGGAGAAGAACGAGUUUGGACUUUUAACUGAGGGCCAUGGGAAACUACUGAAGAGUUUUAGGCAGCAUAAGAACUACCAGAUUUUCAUUGUGGGAGGAUCCUCAGCAGCAGCCUCAGAAAGGAGAUUGGGGAAGGAGAUCCCUAGUCAGAGAGACCAAGAAGACUACUGGAAAAAAACAGGGGAUCCUCAAGGACCUGCAAACAAGAAACCAAAUCCCCCCACUCCCUCCAGCCAAAAUGUGUUCAUUUUGACCAGCUGUGUGUGUGUUUUAAAUUAAAAGUUUGAAUUAGAAAGCAAGUAGGAUAAAUUUAUACACUUAGAUGUAUAAAUUUAAAUACCUGGCCCCUGAAGCACUUCUGAUAGGUCUCAGCUACCCAAACAAGAAGAAGGGAAUCUUUGAAUCCCCAGGACUCAACGCAGUACUGGACAAAAAAUGGGAGCUGAAAAAGUGUGUGUGGAGUCAAUGAAGGAUGCAAUUUCCCCCCAUUGUAGAGACGAAGAAGCUGAGGCUGCAGAGUAGAACAGGAGCAGACAGUGGGGAUUGUCUUCAAAGUAGGUUCCUAGUUCCUGGCUCAGAGGUCCCAGUUUUUGUUGACCAUGGACAGUAAAACUCCCUGGGGAAGCGGGCCCAGUCUCAGGAGAGCAGUUUUGAUUGGUCUAAGUUUGUGAUUGACUUAGGAACUGUCUGGCCAAUGAAAUAUGAGGGAAAGCCUGGGGGAUUCUGGGAAAGGUUUUGUAAACCAAAAAGUAUUUGAGACAUGUCUCAAUUUUAGAGGAUUAUUUUGCCAAGGUUAAGGACCAUUGCCCAUGGCACAGCCUCAGGAGGCCCUGAGAACAUAUACCCAAGGUGGUUGGGGUACAGCUUCAUUUUAUACAUUUUAGGGAGUCAGAAGUUACAGGCAAAGACAUAAAUCAAUACAUGCAAGGUAUACAUUGGUUUGGCCCAGAGAGGUGGAACAUCUAGAAGCAGGAGCUUCCAGGUCAUAAGUGGAUUCAAAGAUUUCCUGAUUGGCAGUUUGUUGACAGAGUUAAGCUCUGCCCCAAGAGUUGAUGUCAGCUUAAAUUAAGGUAAGGGGGUACUUUGUGGAAACCAACAUUCUUAUCAUGUAUAUGAAGCCUCCAGGCUUCAGCGAGAAUAGAUGUGAAUGUCUUUUAUUGGACCUUAAAAAUUGUCAGACUUUCUGGAAAAGACAUAAUAAGGGAAUCUUUACAGAACAUAAUUUUUUCACCCACAAGUGACAGCUUGGCAGGGCCAUUUCAAAAUAUGUAAAGAAAUAUAAUUUGAGGUAAAAUAAUUUGAUUUCCUUCAGGGCCCACUGGCUGUCACGUGAUGUUAUACCAGAGUCAGAUUGGAAUCUGUUGUCUUACUGCUACCAAGAUUUUGUCUUGACAGUCUUAAGAUUCCUGUUUUAAUGUCAGUGCUGGUCAGUUGUGUCUAAACUCAAAAGGAAGGAGGGUAUAAUGAGGCAUGUUUCACCCCCUCUUUCCCAUCAUGGCCUGAACUAGUUUUUCAGGUGUUUUUUUGAAUCCCUUUGGCCAAGGGGGAUCCAUUCAGUCAGCUGAGGGGCUUAGAAUUUUAUUUUUGGUUUAUAGUUUCCUCUUGAUUAAAGAAGGAAGUCUGCAAUGUGGGUUUGUAACCUAGUUUUUAAUAACUUUACAUCAGACUUGUAAUUUAUUGUUACUUUCUGAAGACACACUGAUAAAACCUC
rnacentral:lncRNA from 1 species